ACGGAAACAUGGACAAUAUUCACUUUCAUAUAUUGGUCUCAAUGGCAUCAGUCAUUUCAGUAUCACAGCCUUAUUUGGAGAUUACUACAUCGGUGGCCGUCAGUUUGAGUCCUUACGAGAUUUGAUAGGAUACUACACCAAGUACUCAUGUUUACUGAAGGAUGAGAAGCUGGAACAUCCUGUACAGCCACCAGAACCUGUAUCACUCUCAAUACGUAUGGUUGCCAAUUACUCCUAUAGUAAGCCUCAUGGUUCUGAGGCAUUAAG
rnacentral:lncRNA from 1 species